AGCCCUAGGAAUAUAUCUAAGGUUAAACCUGCCCAAUGUAAAGGUAUUAAUGGCCGCGGUACUCUGACCGUGCUAAGGUAGCGUAAUCAGUUGGCUCUUAAUUGGGGUCAGGAAUGAAUGGAAUCUCGUAGUUUUUCUGUCUCUAAAAUAAUUGUUCGAAAUUACUAUAAAGGUGAAAAAGCCUUUAAUAAUAAAAAAGACGAGAAGACCCUUAGAGUUUUACUGAGAGCAAUGAGCAAAAGAUAUUUAGUAAUUGUUCAAGUUUAGUUGGGGCAACAUAGGAGAAAAUUUAUAAAUUCAUAACCUCCUAAAUUCAGACAGACCGAUUAUUAUAAAUUUGGAUAAACUACCUUAGGGAUAACAGCAUUAUUUUAAAAAUAAGUUUGUGACCUCGAUGUUGGACUGGGAACCUAAAAGGCUAGCCGUUUUUUAGUGAAGUUCUGUUCGAACUAUUAAUUCCC
rnacentral:rRNA from 1 species